AGGGAGUGAGAUGAUCUUCCAUUACCUUCAUAGGGAAUAAAGGUGCCCGUGAAGGAAAAAACUCGUCGCGGGAGGGAUAUUCUCCAUCUCCCUCAGGAGAAUAAAGGGACACACGGACUUGGAUCAGGCCGAGUCGCUGCCAGGGCCGACGUUUGCAGAGGCAUCAGAGCCAGAAGGAACUGGACUGCAGCCACCUCAGAGAGGAGUGGAAAGAAGGGGAAAUCCCUCUGUAACGUGAAUAAAGAACCGAAAAUUCCACAACAAUUCUUGAAGAUUUCUUCCCUGCUGCAGCGUCUGCUCCGAGGUGACCAAAAUCCCCCAUCGACCUUCAGGGAAUUUUCUGAGAAAACCGGUAUUUACAAUAUUACCGAGUUACAAAUUAUCCCUGUUCCCACGAAGGCCUGGUGAGCGACCAAUUAAUUAGAAUUAGAGCACCAGGUACAGCAGCCAACAAG